rnacentral:rRNA from 1 species
GCUAUACAUGCAAGUCGAGCGAACAGACAAGGAGCUUGCUCCUUUGACGUUAGCGGCGGACGGGUGAGUAACACGUGGGUAACCUACCUAUAAGACUGGGAUAACUUCGGGAAACCGGAGCUAAUACCGGAUAAUAUUUCGAACCGCAUGGUUCGAUAGUGAAAGAUGGUUUUGCUAUCACUUAUAGAUGGACCCGCGCCGUAUUAGCUAGUUGGUAAGGUAACGGCUUACCAAGGCGACGAUACGUAGCCGACCUGAGAGGGUGAUCGGCCACACUGGAACUGAGACACGGUCCAGACUCCUACGGGAGGCAGCAGUAGGGAAUCUUCCGCAAUGGGCGAAAGCCUGACGGAGCAACGCCGCGUGAGUGAUGAAGGUCUUCGGAUCGUAAAACUCUGUUAUUAGGGAAGAACAUACGUGUAAGUAACUAUGCACGUCUUGACGGUACCUAAUCAGAAAGCCACGGCUAACUACGUGCCAGCAGCCGCGGUAAUACGUAGGUGGCAAGCGUUAUCCGGAAUUAUUGGGCGUAAAGCGCGCGUAGGCGGUUUUUUAAGUCUGAUGUGAAAGCCCACGGCUCAACCGUGGAGGGUCAUUGGAAACUGGAAAACUUGAGUGCAGAAGAGGAAAGUGGAAUUCCAUGUGUAGCGGUGAAAUGCGCAGAGAUAUGGAGGAACACCAGUGGCGAAGGCGACUUUCUGGUCUGUAACUGACGCUGAUGUGCGAAAGCGUGGGGAUCAAACAGGAUUAGAUACCCUGGUAGUCCACGCCGUAAACGAUGAGUGCUAAGUGUUAGGGGGUUUCCGCCCCUUAGUGCUGCAGCUAACGCAUUAAGCACUCCGCCUGGGGAGUACGACCGCAAGGUUGAAACUCAAAGGAAUUGACGGGGACCCGCACAAGCGGUGGAGCAUGUGGUUUAAUUCGAAGCAACGCGAAGAACCUUACCAAAUCUUGACAUCCUUUGACAACUCUAGAGAUAGAGCCUUCCCCUUCGGGGGACAAAGUGACAGGUGGUGCAUGGUUGUCGUCAGCUCGUGUCGUGAGAUGUUGGGUUAAGUCCCGCAACGAGCGCAACCCUUAAGCUUAGUUGCCAUCAUUAAGUUGGGCACUCUAAGUUGACUGCCGGUGACAAACCGGAGGAAGGUGGGGAUGACGUCAAAUCAUCAUGCCCCUUAUGAUUUGGGCUACACACGUGCUACAAUGGACAAUACAAAGGGCAGCGAAACCGCGAGGUCAAGCAAAUCCCAUAAAGUUGUUCUCAGUUCGGAUUGUAGUCUGCAACUCGACUACAUGAAGCUGGAAUCGCUAGUAAUCGUAGAUCAGCAUGCUACGGUGAAUACGUUCCCGGGUCUUGUACACACCGCCCGUCACACCACGAGAGUUUGUAACACCCGAAGCCGGUGGAGUAACCAUUGGAGCUAGCCGUCGAA